AUGACAGAGUCAGAUGCAACAGUGAAAGUUGAGGCCUGGAAAGAGGAUCUAGUGGAGAUUGAUAAACUGGAAGAAGUUUGGGUGCAGGUGAGAGGACUGAUGCCUAAAUGGUGUGAGUGGGCUGUCAUUGAUCAGUGUGUUUCUUCCUUUGGUCCGCUAAUAGAGAUGGACUGGCAGGGGAUGCUGCAGAGUCUGUUUGAGUGUGUUAGAGCAAAAAUUCAGUGUAGGAACCCAGCUAAAAUCCCCACUGAAAGGCUGUUUGAAGUGGAUGGAAAAAUCUUUAAGGUCCAAAUUGUUGUAGAAGUGGUUUCCAAGGAUGAGGGGGAGAAGGAGAAAGAGAAGUUUGAUUUUGAUGAGGAUAGGAGCAAAAGCAGCAAUGGGGAGGAGAACAUGCAGACCGAUGGGGGUGGGGAUCUGAGUAAUGGAGCUAAUCAGAGUAAAGGAAAUGUGAAAGGUAGUCAGGAAGAUCCUAAGACAGCUACUGGGGGUAGUGGUCAGCAUAGAAAGAGGGAUGUGUCUGUGGUUGAAUUUGUAGAACAACAGGAGAUGCAGAAUUGUGAUCUUGGCCUGGAUGGAAAUGACAUAGUGACAGGUGCUGGGCAGGGGAAAGAUACUACUACUUUUGUCUUUGUGAAAUGCAGUUGCUUAGGGACCUAG
rnacentral:rRNA from 1 species